AGAGUUUGAUCAUGGCUCAGGAUGAACGCUAGCGGCAGGCCUAACACAUGCAAGUCGAACGGUAACAGGGAAGAGCUUGCUCUUUUGCUGACGAGUGGCGCACGGGUGCGUAACGCGUAUACAAUCUACCUUUUACAGGGGGAUAGCCUUUGGAAACGAAGAAUAAUACCCCAUGGCAAGUAUCUAUGGCAUCAUAGAGACUUUAAAGUUUCGGCGGUAAAAGAUGAGUAUGCGUCCUAUUAGCUAGAUGGUGUGGUAACGGCACACCAUGGCAACGAUAGGUAGGGGCCCUGAGAGGGGGAUCCCCCACACUGGUACUGAGACACGGACCAGACUCCUACGGGAGGCAGCAGUGAGGAAUAUUGGACAAUGGGCGGGAGCCUGAUCCAGCCAUGCCGCGUGCAGGAAGACUGCCCUAUGGGUUGUAAACUGCUUUUGUACGGGAAGAAACCCGCCCACGUGUGGGCGGCUGACGGUACCGUAAGAAUAAGGAUCGGCUAACUCCGUGCCAGCAGCCGCGGUAAUACGGAGGAUCCAAGCGUUAUCCGGAAUCAUUGGGUUUAAAGGGUCCGUAGGUGGACGAUUAAGUCAGAGGUGAAAUCCUGCAGCUCAACUGUAGAAUUGCCUUUGAUACUGGUCGUCUUGAAUCAUUGUGAAGUGGUUAGAAUAUGUAGUGUAGCGGUGAAAUGCAUAGAUAUUACAUAGAAUACCGAUUGCGAAGGCAGAUCACUAACAAUGCAUUGACACUGAUGGACGAAAGCGUGGGGAGCGAACAGGGUUAGAUACCCUGGUAGUCCACGCCGUAAACGAUGGUCACUAGCUGUUCGGACUUCGGUCUGAGUGGCUAAGCGAAAGUGAUAAGUGACCCACCUGGGGAGUACGUUCGCAAGAAUGAAACUCAAAGGAAUUGACGGGGGCCCGCACAAGCGGUGGAGCAUGUGGUUUAAUUCGAUGA
rnacentral:rRNA from 1 species